rnacentral:rRNA from 1 species
AGAUUAAGUUAUUAAGGGCGCACGGUGGAUGCCUUGGCACUAGAAGCCGAUGAAGGACGUUACUAACGACGAUAUGCUUUGGGGAGCUGUAAGUAAGCUUUGAUCCAGAGAUUUCCGAAUGGGGAAACCCAGCAUGAGUUAUGUCAUGUUAUCGAUAUGUGAAUACAUAGCAUAUCAGAAGGCACACCCGGAGAACUGAAACAUCUUAGUACCCGGAGGAAGAGAAAGAAAAUUCGAUUCCCUUAGUAGCGGCGAGCGAAACGGGAAGAGCCCAAACCAACAAGCUUGCUUGUUGGGGUUGUAGGACACUCUAUACGGAGUUACAAAGGACGACAUUAGACGAAUCAUCUGGAAAGAUGAAUCAAAGAAGGUAAUAAUCCUGUAGUCGAAAAUGUUGUCUCUCUUGAGUGGAUCCUGAGUACGACGGAGCACGUGAAAUUCCGUCGGAAUCUGGGAGGACCAUCUCCUAAGGCUAAAUACUCUCUAGUGACCGAUAGUGAACCAGUACCGUGAGGGAAAGGUGAAAAGCACCCCGGAAGGGGAGUGAAAUAGAACCUGAAACCGUGUGCUUACAAGUAGUCAGAGCCCGUUAAUGGGUGAUGGCGUGCCUUUUGUAGAAUGAACCGGCGAGUUACGAUUUGAUGCAAGGUUAAGCAGUAAAUGUGGAGCCGUAGCGAAAGCGAGUCUGAAUAGGGCGUUUAGUAUUUGGUCGUAGACCCGAAACCAGGUGAUCUACCCUUGGUCAGGUUGAAGUUCAGGUAACACUGAAUGGAGGACCGAACCGACUUACGUUGAAAAGUGAGCGGAUGAACUGAGGGUAGCGGAGAAAUUCCAAUCGAACCUGGAGAUAGCUGGUUCUCUCCGAAAUAGCUUUAGGGCUAGCCUCAAGUGAUGAUUAUUGGAGGUAGAGCACUGUUUGGACGAGGGGCCCCUCUCGGGUUACCGAAUUCAGACAAACUCCGAAUGCCAAUUAAUUUAACUUGGGAGUCAGAACAUGGGUGAUAAGGUCCGUGUUCGAAAGGGAAACAGCCCAGACCACCAGCUAAGGUCCCAAAAUAUAUGUUAAGUGGAAAAGGAUGUGGCGUUGCCCAGACAACUAGGAUGUUGGCUUAGAAGCAGCCAUCAUUUAAAGAGUGCGUAAUAGCUCACUAGUCGAGUGACACUGCGCCGAAAAUGUACCGGGGCUAAACAUAUUACCGAAGCUGUGGAUUGUCCUUUGGACAAUGGUAGGAGAGCGUUCUAAGGGCGUUGAAGCAUGAUCGUAAGGACNNGUGNNNNNNNNNNNNNNNNNNNNNNNNNNNNNNNNNNNNNNNNNNNNNNNNNNNNNNNNNNNNNNNNNNNNNNNNNNNNNNNNNNNNNCGUAAGGACAUGUGGAGCGCUUAGAAGUGAGAAUGCCGGUGUGAGUAGCGAAAGACGGGUGAGAAUCCCGUCCACCGAUUGACUAAGGUUUCCAGAGGAAGGCUCGUCCGCUCUGGGUUAGUCGGGUCCUAAGCUGAGGCCGACAGGCGUAGGCGAUGGAUAACAGGUUGAUAUUCCUGUACCACCUAUAAUCGUUUUAAUCGAUGGGGGGACGCAGUAGGAUAGGCGAAGCGUGCGAUUGGAUUGCACGUCUAAGCAGUAAGGCUGAGUAUUAGGCAAAUCCGGUACUCGUUAAGGCUGAGCUGUGAUGGGGAGAAGACAUUGUGUCUUCGAGUCGUUGAUUUCACACUGCCGAGAAAAGCCUCUAGAUAGAAAAUAGGUGCCCGUACCGCAAACCGACACAGGUAGUCAAGAUGAGAAUUCUAAGGUGAGCGAGCGAACUCUCGUUAAGGAACUCGGCAAAAUGACCCCGUAACUUCGGGAGAAGGGGUGCUCUUUAGGGUUAACGCCCAGAAGAGCCGCAGUGAAUAGGCCCAAGCGACUGUUUAUCAAAAACACAGGUCUCUGCUAAACCGUAAGGUGAUGUAUAGGGGCUGACGCCUGCCCGGUGCUGGAAGGUUAAGAGGAGUGGUUAGCUUCUGCGAAGCUACGAAUCGAAGCCCCAGUAAACGGCGGCCGUAACUAUAACGGUCCUAAGGUAGCGAAAUUCCUUGUCGGGUAAGUUCCGACCCGCACGAAAGGCGUAACGAUUUGGGCACUGUCUCAACGAGAGACUCGGUGAAAUCAUAGUACCUGUGAAGAUGCAGGUUACCCGCGACAGGACGGAAAGACCCCGUGGAGCUUUACUGUAGCCUGAUAUUGAAAUUCGGCACAGCUUGUACAGGAUAGGUAGGAGCCUUUGAAACGUGAGCGCUAGCUUACGUGGAGGCGCUGGUGGGAUACUACCCUAGCUGUGUUGGCUUUCUAACCCGCACCACUUAUCGUGGUGGGAGACAGUGUCAGGCGGGCAGUUUGACUGGGGCGGUCGCCUCCUAAAAGGUAACGGAGGCGCUCAAAGGUUCCCUCAGAAUGGUUGGAAAUCAUUCAUAGAGUGUAAAGGCAUAAGGGAGCUUGACUGCGAGACCUACAAGUCGAGCAGGGUCGAAAGACGGACUUAGUGAUCCGGUGGUUCCGCAUGGAAGGGCCAUCGCUCAACGGAUAAAAGCUACCCCGGGGAUAACAGGCUUAUCUCCCCCAAGAGUUCACAUCGACGGGGAGGUUUGGCACCUCGAUGUCGGCUCAUCGCAUCCUGGGGCUGUAGUCGGUCCCAAGGGUUGGGCUGUUCGCCCAUUAAAGCGGUACGCGAGCUGGGUUCAGAACGUCGUGAGACAGUUCGGUCCCUAUCCGUCGUGGGCGUAGGAAAUUUGAGAGGAGCUGUCCUUAGUACGAGAGGACCGGGAUGGACAUACCUCUGGUGUACCAGUUGUCGUGCCAACGGCAUAGCUGGGUAGCUAUGUGUGGACGGGAUAAGUGCUGAAAGCAUCUAAGCAUGAAGCCCCCCUCAAGAUGAGAUUUCCCAACUUCGGUUAUAAGAUCCCUCAAAGAUGAUGAGGUUAAUAGGUUCGAGGUGGAAGCAUGGUGACAUGUGGAGCUGACGAAUACUAAUCGAUCGAAGACUUAAUCAAAA